GCAAGGCAAAACGCUGGAUACAUGAGAAAGUGUUUUCCUGGGCUCUGAGAAACACUGAGACCUCUAAGCCUUGUUACCAAGAAUGUCUCCUGUCAUGGCCUCCCAGAAACUAAAGAGGAGCAAUUGGGAGUGUUCUCAGCAUUGACUCUAAGUCUUUGUGCAGACAAGGGGAGUGGCUGGAGGAGAGGUCUCUGCCUGGACAUUUUAUUAAAUGGGCCCUGGGGGAAACACAGAUCCACAUCAUCCCAGAUGAACCCAUGACCCCUGCACAAUAGAGAUCUGAGAGGCAGAUGUGUGGUGCCUUUGACUUGGAAAACAUUUCUGCCAUGGCUCCCAUUUCACCACUCCCAAGUUUGGGUACCAUUUUUCAAGUUUACUCAUCCAUUCACCUUGGAGGCCCAGACUUUUCUCAUCUCCCCUUGGAAAGGUAUAUUUACUGAAGGGACCUUGGGACCUCCUGGCCAAUGGGUCUUCUUUCUUCCUAUAGCAUUGAAACUCUUAUAGCUGGGUUAUGUACUGUGCCCUGCUGUUCUCUCCUAGACCUCACUUUCGUCAUCGGUAAAAUAAGCAGAGGCAGACUUUCUUUCUCCACAAAACCUAUGUGUAAUUACAAUAGGUAAAAUAAUGUGCUGGUAGAGCUGUUUUGCAAGAAUAAGCAAGGAACCCCGGAACCUCAUCUCUGCUUGUGUUUUUUCCUCAAUUGCUUUGAUGGUCUCUGAGGCCCACAAGGCCAGAAUGGUCCAGCUUCCACCAGUCACUACUUGAGUCUCCAGGACUAGAUGACUGCUAAGUCUUUCCAACUCUCAGAUUUGGAGGUUCCAAUUAUUCCAUGGGCAAAUGACCAACUCCAGCCUCCAGGAUUGUUUUGGUAUAUGUAAGAUAAAAAGGGUGGAGCCUCUGGCUUUUGUCUUCCUAGUGGUUUACCCUCUUCAGAUGAAAAAGCUUGAUAAUUCGGGGUCUUCUAAGUCAAUUUAAUUUUAUUUUUUACUUAUUUGAUUGUUUUGGUAACGGGCAUGGAACCCAAGGGUGUUUAACUACUGAACCACAUCUCUAGCCCUAUUUAUUUAUUUUAUAUAUUUAUUUAUUUAUUUUUAUGGUGCUGAGGAUCAAAACCAGGGCCUCGAACGUGUUAGGCAAGCGCUCUACCGCUAAGCCGCAAUCCCAGCCCCUAGCCUUAUUUAUUUAUUUAUUUUUAUUCUGAGACAGGGCCUUGCUAAGUUGCUGAGGCUAGUUUUGAACUUGAGAUCCUCCUGACUCAGCUUCCUGAGUUGCUGGGAUUACAAGCAUGCACCAUGGCACCCUGCUUCUAAACCAAUUUUAUAAAAUUGCAUACUUGGGGAAACUUCUCCCACAUGGUGUUUUCCCAGUUGAUUUGGGAGGGCCCAGGGUAACACCCACAUCAUUGCCCCAAAGAGGGUCACCAUACUUUGUAUUUGGCAACUUCAAUGAACUGGUCUGUUUUGAGGGGGUGUCGGGAGCUGAAACAGAUGUCCUUGGGAAACACCCAGCAAAGGGUGGACUUGACUUUCUGGAACUUCCCUGGUCAUAAAUCUCAGGCAUCCUUCCUGGAGGACUGGAGAGACCAGUGUCACUGGGAGGCUCUUGGCAGUGGCUUGGCCUUUUCUACCCGCUCUGUGCUUUCUCUUGGUCACAUGACCUGCUGGCUGGCUGCUUUCUUCUGGAGCCCUUGGUUUCUUAAACGAUAAUGAAUGAAAGAUCAAAAUCUGUCCCACACAGGUCAUCUUUGCCAUCUUAAUAUUUGUUAAGCUUUUUUGAUUUACUGAGAAGUUAAAGUCUCAUCAGAUCACAAAACUGCACAUUAGAUCUGCUUCAUGAAACACCUUGAGUGAACAAUUUAACUCAUUUAUUUCACCAUCUUUAAACCAAUGUAGCUGAAGAAUUGUACCUCCCCUUUAUAAAUCUUUCUAUUUAUCUCUGACUCAGGUUUAUGGGGAGGGUGCAGACCUAGCCCAUUCUGCCGUUUUACACAUGGCCAUUGAAACCCGAACACGGACUGCUUGUAAUGGUGAGCAAGCCCAGCUGACAUGUGUUAAAUCAGCCAGAGAGAAAUUUCAUUUGGGAAGCCUGAGGAAUGUGCUUUGCACCUAGGGCUUCCCUUGGGCAUUUGAGAUUCACCAAUAUCUCACCCUUCUCUCUCUCGAAUCACCUCUUGUGUUCUUUCCCUGUUUGUUUCUUUCAUUCCACCAAGUCCAACUAAUUUAAAGGGAAAUUUAACCAGUCAAGGUUCUACAGAGAAUCCAUAUCCGUUGUCCUAAAAGGUAGGGUUCAGGCUUGGGUGAAAGAGAGGGUUAGCACUUAAGCAAAUUAGGUCAGAAAAAAUUUAGACUAUAGCUUUCCUCCACUGAACUCUUAUUUUUUAUUUCUUCUGAGGAAAGAUUAUAUCCGAAGAGGAACACAGUUACUCUGGCAUCUCUGUUACCAUAGGAGAGGUGGGGAGACUUUGCUCCUGAAUUAAGAUCCCAGUGUUGGGCUGAGCUUGGUAAGGGGGGACCUUCUUUGGCUGCCUGACCUGUUCCUACUGUGAUCUAAUUAGGGAAAAGACACCAGGUCAGCUCUAUUUUUAUCUUUAAGUUAUUUUGAGUUUUAUUUGCAGUCUAAUAUAUAAUCAAUUUUAAAAAGUGUUCCAAGGAUAUUUGAAAAGUAUAAGUAUUCUGUUUUCUAUUAUGAAGUUCAGACUCUAUUAAAUUGGGUUUAUGAUGAUGAUCUUCAAAUCUGUUAUGUAUUUAUUUUUUUAAUCUAUUUUAUCUAUUGAUUUUUUUUAAAAUAAAAGUUAAUGUUUCC
rnacentral:lncRNA from 1 species